rnacentral:rRNA from 1 species
CUGUAGUCGAUGGACAACAGGUUAAUAUUCCUGUACUAGGUAUUAUUGCGAUGGAGCGACGGAGAAGGAUAGGAGAACCCGGUUAUUGGAUUCCGGGCUAAGCAGUGAGGCUUGUAUGUAUGCAAAUCCGCAUACUUUAAGGCUGGGCUGUUAUGGGGUAAGUCUCUGUGUUCAUGCUUCCAAGAAAAACUUCUAAGCUUAAAUAAUACCUACCUGUACCAAAACCGACACAGGUAGAUGGGUUGAGUAUACUAAGGUGAGCGAGAGAACUCUUGUUAAGGAACUCGGCAAAAUGGAUCCGUAACUUCGGGAUAAGGAUCGCUCUUUCAGGUACGUCCUGGGAGAGCCGCAGUGAAUAGGCCCAAGCGACUGUUUAUCAAAAACACAGGUCUAUGCUAAACCGUAAGGUGAUGUAUAUGGGCUGACGCCUGCCCGGUGCUGGAAGGUUAAGAGGAGAUGUUAGCAUUAGCGAAGCUUCGAAUCGAAGCCCCAGUAAACGGCGGCCGUAACGAUAACGGUCCUAAGGUAGCGAAAUUCCUUGUCGGGUAAGUUCCGACCCGCACGAAAGGCGUAACGAUUUGGGCACUGUCUCAACAAGAGACUCGGUGAAAUCAUGGUACGAGUGAAAACGCUCGUUACCCGCGACAGGACGAAAAGACCCUAUGGAGCUUUACUACAGCUUGAUAUUGGGAUUGAAUAUAUUUUGUACAGGAUAGGUGGGAGCCUUUGAAACCAGCACGCUAGUGUUGGUGGAGGCGUCCUUGGGAUACCACCCUUGAUAUAUUUAAUUCCUAACUCUGGACCAUUAUCUGGUUCGAGGACAGUGUCUGGCAGGUAGUUUGACUGGGGCGGUCGCCUCCUAAAUAGUAACGGAGGCGCUCAAAGGUUACCUCAGGAUGGUUGGAAAUCAUCUAAAGAGUGCAAUGGCAUAAGGUAGCUUGACUGCGAGACCUACAAGUCGAGCAGGUACGAAAGUAGGACAUAGUGAUCCGGCGGUGCAGUGUGGAAUGGCCGUCGCUCAACGGAUAAAAGUUACCCUAGGGAUAACAGGCUGAUCUCCCCCAAGAGUUCACAUCGACGGGGAGGUUUGGCACCUCGAUGUCGGCUCAUCGCAUCCUGGGGCUGGAGUCGGUCCCAAGGGUUGGGCUGUUCGCCCAUUAAAGCGGUACGCGAGCUGGGUUCAGAACGUCGUGAGACAGUUCGGUCUCUAUCCGUCGUGGGCGUUAGAAAUUUGAGAGGAUCUGUCCUUAGUACGAGAGGACCGGGAUGGACAAACCUCUGGUGCACCAGUUGUCACGCCAGUGGCAUAGCUGGGUAGCUACGUUUGGAAAAGAUAAACGCUGAAAGCAUCUAAGCGUGAAACUUACCUCAAGAUGAGAUUUCUUCUUUGAUAAGACCCCUUAUAGACUAUGAGGUUGAUAGGCUGGAUGUGUAAGCACAGUGAUGUGUUAAGCUGACCAGUACUAAUAGGUCGAAACCUUCCCAA